rnacentral:rRNA from 1 species
GACGAACGCUGGCGGCGUGCCUAAUACAUGCAAGUCGAACGGUUUAGUUCCAAGAGGCUUGCCUUUUGGAACUAGACAGUGGCGGACGGGUGAGUAACACGUAGGCAACCUACCUGUCAAACCGGGAUAACCUCGGGAAACCGAAGUUAAACCCGGAUAAGCUCCUUUUUCGCAUGAAGGGGGAGUGAAAAGGUGCGACCUGAUGACAGAUAGGCCUGCGGCGCAUUAGCUAGUAGGUAGGGUAACGGCCUACCUAGGCGAUGAUGCGUAGCCGACCUGAGAGGGCGUACGGCCACACUGGGACUGAGAUACGGCCCAGACUCCUACGGGAGGCAGCAGUAGGGAAUCUUCGGCAAUGGGCGAAAGCCUGACCGAGCAACGCCGCGUGAGUGAGGAAGGCCUUCGGGUUGUAAAACUCUGUUGUUUGGGAAGAAGGGAAAGGGUAGGACCCUUAGGUGACGGUACCAAACGAGAAAGCCCCGGCUAACUACGUG